AACGAACGCUGGCGGCAUGCCUAACACAUGCAAGUCGAACGAGACCUUCGGGUCUAGUGGCGCACGGGUGCGUAACGCGUGGGAACCUGCCCUUAGGUUCGGAAUAACUCCCCGAAAGGGGUGAUAAUACCGGAUAAUGUCUUCGGACCAAAGAUUUAUCGCGUUUGGAUGGACCCGCGUUGGAUUAGCUAGUUGGUAGGGUAAAAGCCUACCAAGGCGACGAUCCAUAGCUGGUCUGAGAGGAUGAUCAGCCACACUGGGACUGAGACACGGCCCAGACUCUUACGGGAGGCAGCAGUGGGGAAUAUUGGACAAUGGGCGAAAGCCUGAUCCAGCAAUGCCGCGUGAGUGAUGAAGGCCUUAGGGUUGUAAAGCUCUUUUACCCGGGAUGAUAAUGACAGUACCGGGAGAAUAAGCUCCGGCUAACUCCGUG
rnacentral:rRNA from 1 species